rnacentral:rRNA from 1 species
ACGUUCGGAUUGCAGCCUGCAACUCGGCUGCAUGAAGCUGGAAUCGCUAGUAAUCGCGGAUCAGAACGCCGCGGUGAAUACGUUCCCGGGUCUUGUACACACCGCCCGUCACACCAUGGGAGCCGGAAACGCCCGAAGCCAGCGGCCCAACCGCAAGGGGGGAGCUGUCGAAGGCGGGGCCGGUGACCGGGGUGAAGUCGUAACAAGGUAGC